rnacentral:ribozyme from 1 species
AAAAAGAUAGAAAGAAACAGAGAGAAAGAGAGAGAGAGAGAAAGAGAGAGCGUCUGUGUGUUUGUUUGCAUCAAUGCAGUUCGUUUCUCUACGCAUUUGCUUUCUGUG